UACGGGGGGGGCAAGCGUUGUUCGGAAUUACUGGGCGUAAAGGGCUCGUAGGCGGCCAACUAAGUCAUACGUGAAAUCCCUCGGCUUAACCGGGGAACUGCGUCUGAUACUGGAUGGCUUGAGAUUGGGAGAGGGAUGCGGAAUUCCAGGUGUAGCGGUGAAAUGCGCAGAUAUCAGGAGGAACACCGAUGGCGAAGGCAGGUCUCUGGGCCAUAACUGACGCUGAGAAGCGAAAGCAUGGGGAGCGAACAGG
rnacentral:rRNA from 1 species